GAUGAACGCUGGCGGCGUGCCUAAUACAUGCAAGUCGAGCGAACAGACGAGGAGCUUGCUCCUCUGACGUUAGCGGCGGACGGGUGAGUAACACGUGGAUAACCUACCUAUAAGACUGGGAUAACUUCGGGAAACCGGAGCUAAUACCGGAUAAUAUAUUGAACCGCAUUGUUCAAUAGUGAAAGACGGUUUUGCUGUCACUUAUAGAUGGAUCCGCGCCGCAUUAGCUAGUUGGUAAGGUAACGGCUUACCAAGGCAACGAUGCGUAGCCGACCUGAGAGGGGGAUCGGCCACAUUGGAACUGAGACACGGACCAGACUACUAAGGGAGGCAGCAGUAGGGAAUCUUACGCAAUGGGCGAAAGCCUGACGGAGCAACGCCGCGUGAGUGAUGAAGGUCUUCGGAUCGUAAAACUCUGUUAUUAGGGAAGAACAAAUGUGUAAGUAACUAUGCACGUCUUGACGGUACCUAAUCAGAAAGCCACGGCUAACUACGUG
rnacentral:rRNA from 1 species